AUCGAACGCUGGCGGCAGGCCUAACACAUGCAAGUCGAGCGAGCGGCGGACGGGUGAGUAAUGUAUGGGGACUGCCCGAUAGAGGGGGAUAACUACUGGAAACGGUGGCUAAUACCGCAUACUAUCGGAUAACCCAUAUGGGAUGAGCUAGUAGGUGGGGUAAAGGCUUACCUAGGCGACGAUCUCUAGCUGGUCUGAGAGGAUGAUCGGCCACACUGGGACUGAGACACGGCCCAGACUCCGACGGAGGCAGCAGUGGGGAAUAGUGCACAAUGGGCGCAAGCCUGAUGCAGCCAUGCCGCGUGUAUGAAGAAGGUCUUAGGGUUGUAAAGUACUUUCGUCAGAGAAGCGUUACCCGAAGAAGAAGCACCGGCUAACUCCGUGCCAGCAGCCGCGGUAAUAC
rnacentral:rRNA from 1 species